AAUAAUAAUCAACCACAGCAACAACAAGGACAAUCAACAUCGUCCGCAUCUUCAUCCAUGUCAGUGUCGAAAAUCCUCGCAAGAUGCCGCGAACUUAUCAUGGAGAUGGCCAUUCCUUCCGACCUCCGGCACUCCUUAGAAGC
rnacentral:ribozyme from 1 species